AGGAAGAACUAAUGAUUUAAAUUCAUCAUGGAAUCACUGCAAUGGCCACAAACAGAGGCGUCUAAGAGACUGGGAAAGUGGCCAGCCUGAGAUAAUUGACGACCUUGCCAACCUAGUGGAGAACACAGAUGAAAAACUUCGCACUGAAACCAGGCGGGUAAACAUGGUGGACAGAAAGUCAGCCUCUUGUGGGAUGAUCAUGGUGAUUUUACUGCUGCUCGUGGCUAUCGUGGUUGUUGCAGUCUGGCCGACCAACUGAUGGCAGUAAAGAGAUCACCAGCAGUGACACCUGCCAAUGACAGAUGCAAGCCCAGCACCCUUUUGGUACGCAAAACCUCCUCUCAAUAAAUUCCCCCAAAGCUC
rnacentral:sRNA from 1 species